rnacentral:rRNA from 1 species
CCUACGGGGGGCUGCAGUGGGGAAUUUUGCGCAAUGGGGGAAACCCUGAUCCAGCGACGCCGCGUGAAGGAUGAAGGCCUUCGGGUUGUAAACUUCUUUUGGAGGGGACGAAUAAAUUGACGGUACCCUCAGAAAAAGCCACGGCUAACUACGUGCCAGCAGCCGCGGUAAUACGUAGGUGGCGAGCGUUACUCGGAAUUACUAGGCGUAAAGCGUAUGUAGGCGGUUGUAUAAGUCUAUGGUGAAAUUUCCUGGCUCAACUGGGAAGGGACAUAGAUACUGUAUAGCUUGAGUGUUGGAGGGGGAGACGGAAUUCCUGGUGUAGCGGUGAAAUGCGUAGAUAUCAGGAGGAACACCGAUGGCGAAAGCAGUCUCCUGGCCAAAUACUGACGCUGAGGUACGAAAGCGUGGGUAGCAAACAGGAUUAGAUACCCGAGUAGUC